GGGCCGUUAGCUCAGUUGGUAGAGCAGCUGACUCUUAAUCAGUAGGUCCGGGGUUCGAAUCCCUGACGGCCCACCA
rnacentral:tRNA from 2 species